GUGAGAGGUCUAAUGCUUUAAUAUUGUAAUGACCUGACUAGAUCAUAAAGGAACAAUUGUCCAGACAGAGGGUUGAGUUUAAGAAUUUACGGUUUAUUAACCCAACUCCCCACAGGCUACUGUUUGGCCGUAGCCCACGACAAAUAAAUGAAGGAUACCCUAUAAACCAACCGUGACCUUCUCUUGUGAAAGCCAGACAUAAGAGAGAGAACAACGUCUAAACCUGGUCUAAACUUCCAAUGCUCCCUGCCCAACCCCCCUCCACGCCUCUCCACCAACCACCAGGAAGCCCGGCAUCAGAAUGUUCCAGGCAUUCCUGUGAUUGGCAGAUAGCAGGUUGAUUGGCAUGUCGAACCCCGCGAACACUGGGUACUGGUAUAGGUGUUCAGACGUUCCUGAGUACUGGACAGACCAUAUUUUCCAGAAUACAUUGACAAGGAAAACGCCAAGGAGUGUGGAGAUGCAUCGCAGAUCUACCUGUCUGUUUCUCUCUUCCUCACCUGUCCCACUGCCUCCUUCACCUGUCUCAAGGCCUCCACGCUGGUCUUCCGAUGACAGACAGACAGCUACCUAGCCUAAACCCCGCCCCCUCUGAAUCGGAAUCUCCCUGGAAUGUUCCAGAAUGCCUGAACUUAGCAUGCCUGCUGCUGUUUGCGUUAACUUAAGUCAUAUUGAUUGAUAAAUAUAUGAUAUUGAUCAUUUUGGCUGUUGGACUGAGAGAAAUAAGCUGUUGACUGACUCCAUGUUUGAUGUCUUUACAAUCACAGAGAGAUGUUGACUUCAGAUGUUUGAUGUCUUUCAAACACCAAAGUUGUUCUUCUUUGGACAACCGUUCUAAAACCAUGAAAGGGCUUUUUGGUUUCUUCUUCUUCAGUGUCUGAUAAGAGAAC